rnacentral:rRNA from 1 species
GACGAACGCUGGCGGCGUGCUUAACACAUGCAAGUCGAACGGAAAGGCCCUGCUUUUGUGGGGUGCUCGAGUGCCGAACGCGUGAGUAACACGUGAGUAACCUGCCCUUGUCUUUGGGAUAACUUCAGGAAACUGGGGCUAAUACCGGAUAGGAGCUCCUGCUGCAUGGUGGGGAUUGGAAAGUUUCGGCGGUAGGGGAUGGACUCGCGGCUUAUCCGCUUGUUGGUGGGGUAGUGGAUUACCAAGGGUUUGACGGGUAGCCGGCCUUGGAGGGGGACCGGCCACAAUGGGACUGAGGUACGGCCCAGACGCCUACGGGAGGCAGCAGUGGGGAAUAUUGCACAAUGGGCGGAAGCCUGAGGCAGCGGCGCCGGGUGCGGGAUGACGUCUUUCGGGUUAUAAACCGCUUUCGCCUGUGACGAAGCGGGAGUGACGGUAAUGGGUAAAGAAGCACCGGCUAACUACGUG